GCGGCCCCUGGACAAGACUGACGCUCAGGUGCGAAAGCGUGGGGAGCAAACAGGAUAGAUACCUGGUAGUCACGCUGUAAACGAUGUCGAUUUGGAGGUUGUUCCCUUGAGGAGUGGCUUCCGGAGCUAACGCGUUAAAUCGACCGCUGGGGAGUACGGCCGCAAGGUUAAAACUCAAAUGAAUUGACGGGGGCCCGCACAAGCGGUGGAGCAUGUGGUUUAAUUCGAUGCAACGCGAAGAACCUUACCUACUCUUGACAUCCAGAGAAUUUAGCAGAGAUGCUUUAGUGCCUUCGGGAACUCUGAGACAGGUGCUGCAUGGCUGUCGUCAGCUCGUGUUGUGAAAUGUUGGGUUAAGUCCCGCAACGAGCGCAACCCUUAUCCUUUGUUGCCAGCACAUUAUGGUGGGAACUCAAAGGAGACUGCCGGUGAUAAACCGGAGGAAGGUGGGGAUGACGUCAAGUCAUCAUGGCCCUUACGAGUAGGGCUACACACGUGCUACAAUGGCGUAUACAAAGAGAAGCGACCUCGCGAGAGCAAGCGGAACUCAUAGAGUACGUCGUAGUCCGGAUUGGAGUCUGCAACUCGACUCCAUGAAGUCGGAAUCGCCAGUAAUCGUAGAUCAGAAUGCUACGGUGAAUACGUUCCCGGGCCUUGUACACACCGCCCGUCACACCAUGGGAGUGGGUUGCAAAAGAAGUAGGUAGCUUAACCUUCGGGAGGGCGCUUACCACUUUGUGAUUCAUGACUGGGGUGAAGUCGUAACAAGGUAACCA
rnacentral:rRNA from 1 species